rnacentral:rRNA from 1 species
GGAAGGGGUGUAUUUAUUAGAUUAAAAACCAAUGCCCUCUGGGCUCUUUGGUGAUUCAUGAUAACUUCUCGAAUCGCACGGCCUUGCGCCGGCGAUGGUUCAUUCAAAUUUCUUCCCUAUCAACUUUCGAUGUUUGGGUAUUGGCCAAACAUGGUUGCAACGGGUAACGGAGGGUUAGGGCUCGACCCCGGAGAAGGAGCCUGAGAAACGGCUACUACAUCCAAGGAAGGCAGCAGGCGCGCAGAUUACCCAAUCCCGACACGGGGAGGUAGUGACAAUAAAUACUGAUACAGGGCUCUUUUGGGUCUUGUAAUUGGAAUGAGUACAAUUUAAAUCCCUUAACGAGGAACAAUUGGAGGGCAAGUCUGGUGCCAGCAGCCGCGGUAAUUCCAGCUCCAAUAGCGUAUAUUAAAGUUGUUGUGGUUAAAAAGCUCGUAGUUGAACCUUGGGCCUGGCUGGCCGGUCCGCCUCACCGCGUGUACUGGUCCGGCCGGGCCUUUCCCUCUGUGGAACCUCAUGCCCUUCACUGGGUGUGACGGGGAACCAGGACUUUUAC